rnacentral:rRNA from 1 species
AGAUGGGGCUCCAUCCCAACUGAAACCGUGCAAUAGACCGUUGAAAACAACGGCUCCUUUUUGUGCGGUUUUCAUUCCACUCUCCGCUGCACCGGCUGAUAAAGAUU